rnacentral:rRNA from 1 species
CCCAGACUCCUACGGGAGGCAGCAGUGGGGGAUAUUGCACAAUGGGGGGAACCCUGAUGCAGCGACGCCGCGUGGGUGAAGGAGCGUUUCGGCGCGUAAAGCCCUAUCGGCAGGGAAGAAGGAGGACGGUACCUGACUAAGAAGCCCCGGCUAACUACGUGCCAGCAGCCGCGGUAAUACGUAGGGGGCAAGCGUUAUCCGGAUUUACUGGGUGUAAAGGGGGCGCAGACGGCAGCGCAAGCCAGGAGUGAAAGCCCGGGGCCCAACCCCGGGACUGCUCUUGGAACUGCGCGGCUGGAGUGCAGGAGGGGCAGGCGGAAUUCCUGGUGUAGCGGUGAAAUGCGUAGAUAUCAGGAGGAACACCGGUGGCGAAGGCGGCCUGCUGGACUGCGACUGACGUUGAGGCCCGAAAGCGUGGGGAGCAAACAGGAUUAGAUACCCUCGUACU